rnacentral:misc_RNA from 1 species
AUUUUUUUUUUUUUUUUUAAAUGGAAUAUAGGAAAAUCGGGAUCAUCCCAUGUGGGCUUAUCUGUUUGAUGGGAUUUAUUUGGUUAAAUGUUUAUAGAGUUAGCUGUAAGAAUUUAAUGUUUGAUUAUUGAGUAUUAUUUGUAAAUCUUUAUAUGUUAAUUUUUGUUUAUUAUUUUCCUAACAAGCCUUGGUAAUACCAUUUAUGGCAUGUUAAUUGAAUUUGUGGACUGCAUUCAUGUAAAUUCG